AAAUUGAAGAGUUUGAUCAUGGCUCAGAUUGAACGCUGGCGGCAGGCCUAACACAUGCAAGUCGAACGGUAACAGAAAGCAGCUUGCUGCUUUGCUGACGAGUGGCGGACGGGUGAGUAAUGUCUGGG
rnacentral:rRNA from 1 species